CCGCCUGGGGAGUACGGUCGCAAGACUGAAACUCAAAGGAAUUGACGGGGACCCGCACAAGCAGUGGAGUAUGUGGUUUAAUUCGAAGCAACGCGAAGAACCUUACCAGGUCUUGACAUCCCUCUGAUCGGUCUAGAGAUAGGCCUUUCCUUCGGGACAGAGGAGACAGGUGGUGCAUGGUUGUCGUCAGCUCGUGUCGUGAGAUGUUGGGUUAAGUCCCGCAACGAGCGCAACCCUUAUGCUUAGUUGCCAGCA
rnacentral:rRNA from 1 species